AUUACCGCGGCUGCUGGCACGGAGUUAGCCGAUACUUAUUCCUCAGGUACCGUCAGAUCUUCUUCCCUGAGAAAAGAGGUUUACAACCCAAAGGCAUUCCUCCCUCACGCGGUAUUGCUCCGUCAGGCUUUCGCCCAUUGCGGAAAAUUCCCCACUGCUGCCUCCCGUAGG
rnacentral:rRNA from 1 species